rnacentral:rRNA from 1 species
UUGGGAAUCUUGGACAAUGGGCGCAAGCCUGAUCCAGCCAUGCCGCGUGAGUGAUGAAGGCCCUAGGGUUGUAAAGCUCUUUUGCCAGGGAAGAUAAUGACUGUACCUGGAGAAUAAGCUCCGGCUAACUUCGUGCCAGCAGCCGCGGUAAUACGAAGGGGGCUAGCGUUGUUCGGAAUUACUGGGCGUAAAGCGCGCGCAGGCGGCUUGGUAAGUCGGGGGUGAAAGCCCAGAGCUCAACUCUGGAAUUGCCUUCGAAACUCUCAAGCUUGAGUACGGAAGAGGUGAGUGGAAUUCCCAGUGUAGAGGUGAAAUUCGUAGAUAUUGGGAAGAACACCGGUGGCGAAGGCGGCUCACUGGUCCGUUACUGACGCUCAGGCGCGAUAGCGUGGGGAUCAAA